GAUGAACGCUGGCGGCGUGCCUAAUACAUGCAAGUCGAGCGAACAGACGAGGAGCUUGCUCCUCUGACGUUAGCGGCGGACGGGUGAGUAACACGUGGAUAACCUACCUAUAAGACUGGGAUAACUUCGGGAAACCGGAGCUAAUACCGGAUAAUAUAUUGAACCGCAUGGUUCAAUAGUGAAAGACGGUUUUGCUGUCACUUAUAGAUGGAUCCGCGCCGCAUUAGCUAGUUGGUAAGGUAACGGUUUACCAAGGCAACGAUGCGUAGCCGACCUGAGAGGGUGAUCGGCCACACUGGAACUGAGACACGGUCCAGACUCCUACGGGAGGCAGCAGUAGGGAAUCUUCCGCAAUGGGCGAAAGCCUGACGGAGCAACGCCGCGUGAGUGAUGAAGGUCUUCGGAUCGUAAAACUCUGUUAUUAGUGAAGAACAAAUGUGUAAGUAACUAUGCACGUCUUGACGGUACCUAAUCAGAAAGCCACGGCUAACUACGUG
rnacentral:rRNA from 1 species